AGCUCUGAGGUGUUCACACGCCUGAUUGCAAAUCAGGAGUAGUAGAUUAAUUUCUGCCGGGGCUU
rnacentral:tRNA from 1 species